rnacentral:rRNA from 1 species
UACGUAGGGGGCAAGCGUUGUCCGGAUUUAUUGGGCGUAAAGAGCGUGUAGGCGGCCAGAUAGGUCCGUUGUGAAAACUGGAGGCUUAACCUCCAGCGGUCGAUGGAAACCAUCUGGCUAGAGUCCGGAAGAGGAGAGUGGAAUUCCUGGUGUAGCGGUGAAAUGCGCAGAUAUCGAAGGAAGAACCACCCGUAGGCGGAAGGCGGCGUCUCUGGGACGGUACUGACGCUGAAGACGCGGAAAGCGUGGGGAGCGAACAGG